rnacentral:rRNA from 1 species
UCGCCCUUUUCCGGUUGAUCCUGCCGGACCUGACUGCUAUCGGAUUGAUACUAAGCCAUGCGAGUCAUUGUAGCAAUACAAGGCAGACGGCUCAGUAACGCGUAGUCAAUCUACCCUAUGGACGGGAAUAACCUCGGGAAACUGAGAAUAAUGCCCGAUAGAACAUUAUGCCUGGAAUGGUUUAUGUUUCAAAUGAUUUAUCGCCAUAGGAUGGGACUGCGGCCUAUCAGUUUGUUGGUGAGGUAAUGGCCCACCAAGACUAUUACAGGUACGGGCUCUGAGAGGAGUGGCCCGGAGAUGGGUACUGAGACACGGACCCAGGCCCUAUGGGGCGCAGCAGGCGAGAAAACUUUGCAAUGUGCGAAAGCACGACAAGGUUAAUCCGAGUGGUUUCUGCUAAAGAAACCUUUUGUCAGUCCUAGAAACACUAACGAAUAAGGGGUGGGCAAGUUCUGGUGUCAGCCGCCGCGGUAAAACCAGCACCUCAAGUGGUCAGGAUGAUUAUUGGGCCUAAAGCAUCCGUAGCCCGUUUUGUAAGUUUUCGGUUAAAUCCAUGCGCUUAACGUAUGGGCUGCCGGGAAUACUGCAUAACUAGGAAGUGGGAGAGGUAGACGGUACUCGGUAGGAAGGGGUAAAAUCCUUUGAUCUAUUGAUGACCACCUGUGGCGAAGGCGGUCUACCAGAACACGUUCGACGGUGAGGGAUGAAAGCUGGGGGAGCAAACCGGAUUAGAUACCCGGGUAGUCCCAGCUGUAAACUAUGCAAACUCAGUGAUGCAUUGGCUUGUGGCCAAUGCAGUGCUGCAGGAAGCCGUUAAGUUUGCCGCCUGGGAAGUACGUACGCAAGUAUGAAACUUAAAGGAAUUGGCGGGG